CUCCAUAGCUAAAUCUCCUUUGAAAGGGACAAACAAUAUUAGAAAAUGAUAAAAAUUACAAAAAAGAAAAAAGAAAUUAGCCGUAGAUUGUCUCAACUGGAAAUUUCGCCAUGAAAAGGGGUAAACUUUCCCUGUAAAACCCUAAAUCGAAAGCAAGAAGAAGAAGAAAGAGAAUGGCCAACGAAAGCAUAAGCGAGCAAGAGAGACACCAGAGGGAGCAGAUUCUGGAGCUCGAUCACGAGGAAUUGCUCAUCGAAGAGGUCGACGACGACUCAUCCGACGAAGAUCGUCACGCUAUAGGUAGUAGCAGCAGUGGUGGAUUAACUUUCAAUACAGGUUUGGCUUCGCUACACACAUAUCUUGGCAAUGUCGAAGACACACACCAUAGGGAUAGGGUUGGGUUUUUGGAAGGUGGUGAUAUCUUUAGUCUUCCGAUCUUCUAUCUUGAAGGGGUUGUUUUGUUCCCUGAGGCAAUCCUUCCUCUCCGAGUUAUCGAACCCAAUUUCAUAGCUGCCAUCGAGAGAGCUUUAACACAAGUUGAUGAUGUAUCUUCCUCUAUAAUUGGUGUGGUUCGAGCUCACAGAAAUGGUAACAGUGGUCAAAGAGCAAGCUUUUCAAGUGUUGGGACUACUGCAGAGAUUCGACAGUACCGGAGAUUAGAUGAUGGUACAUUGAAUAUUGUCACUCGUGGGCAGCACAGAUUCCGUUUAAGACGUCCUUAUAUUGAUUCAGAAGGGGUUCCUUGUGGUGAAAUCCAAAUCAUCAAGGAAGAUUUACCGCUGAGGACCCCAAUCGAUGCUUUGGGAGAUCGGCUGCCUUUAAAUAAGGGUUCAGAAGAGAAUUCAGAUGAAAGCUUUGAAAGUUCCCUCUCAUUGACAGAAAAGAGAGUUCACCAAUCUGCAAUUGUUUCUUGUUCUGAACCUGAGAAUGGUGGAGAUUCUGGCUUGGGAUUGGGAAAGAGUUCCAUGUCAUUGUCAAGAACGCAUUCACAGCACGUUAAUCAGUCGCGGAGGAGAUUUUCGAGAACUUUCUGGCCAUUUUGGGUUUAUCGCAUGUAUGAUUCAUAUUGUCUUGCUCAAAAGGCUUCAGAUAUGUGGAAACAGAUAGUUGGAGCACCAAGUAUGGAAGGCCUGGUGAAGAAGCCUGAUCUUUUGUCAUUUUACAUCGCCAGUAAAAUUCCAGUGUCUGAAUCUACAAGGCAAGAGCUUCUGGAGAUUGAUGGUAUAUCCUAUAGGUUGCGCCGGGAAAUUGAGCUACUUGAGAGUGUUAAUCUCAUUAAAUGUAGACACUGUCAGACUGUAAUUGCAAGGCGGAGUGAUAUGCUGGCGAUGUCUAGUGAUGGUCCUCUUGGUGCUUAUGUAAACUCACAUGGUUUUGUGCAUGAGGUCAUUACUCUGUACAGAGCAAAUGACUUAACACUUGUGGGGGUACCAGUGAGAGAAUACAGUUGGUUUCCUGGGUAUGCAUGGACAAUAACAAACUGUGCUUCUUGUGGAAACCAGAUGGGGUGGCUCUUUACAGCCACAAAGAAGAAUUUGAAGCCUAGGCUGUUUUGGGGUAUUCGGAGUUCCGAAGUAUCUAUAUGAUAGCACACGAUAAUCAACACCUGUAACGUUCAUUCUACCUUCCUUGAGUACUUCAAUCAUCUCUGUUUUCUACUGGUUGGUUGAAAGGUCUCACAAUGGUGAACUCAAGACCAUUUUCUGCACCUUCAUCUGAAUUGGACGGAGUAUGAGAUAUUAGAUGGAAAAUGUUCUCUGCUUAUAGUAGAUUUCACUGUAAAUUGAGCUAAUUAAAGCACAUAUCAUGGAAAGAAAGAUGUUGGCUUUGUGUAAUUAUAUAAUUUAUAUAAGCAGCUUCUGAAAGCUUUAUUAGCUAUAUAUCAAAUUUUGAAAGCUUUA